AAAACGAAUUGUAAUCGAAAAGUUUUUAUGUGCAAUAAAAUGCCUAGGUAUAUGUCGAACAGCUGUUUUUGAACUAUACACCUACGAUCUAUCUAUAGAUAUAGAUAUUUUAUUUCUUUUAAAAUACAUUGAAACUUGCAGUAGCUAUGAUUGUGUGCACUACAAAACACUUUGUAUACUAUUAAAUUCCAAAUGUACAAUACGGAAAAUUAAAACGUGCACCAGCCACCUACGUAUUGUUUAUAGACGAGUCACAAGGUCCCACAGAUGUAAGAAAAGCAUUCGUUUUAUUAUUAU